GCCCAAAUUUGAAAUCUGACCCCUCCGGGGUCCGAGUUGUAAUUUGCAGAGGACGCUUCGGCUUAGGCCCCGGGUCAAGUCCCCAGGAACGGGGCGCCAGGGAGGGUGAGAGCCCCGUCCGCGCCCGGGCCGCCUUCGCCGCGCGAAGCCCCUUCGAAGAGUCGAGUUGUUUGGGAAUGCAGCUCAAAGCGGGGGGUAAAUUCCCCCCAAGGCUAAACACCGGUCGGAGACCGAUAGCGCACAAGUAGAGUGAUCGAAAGAUGAAAAGCACUUUGGAAAGAGAGUGAAAAAGCACGUGAAAUUGUUGAAAGGGAAGCUCUUGCCGCCAGACUCGCGGCGACGGCUCAGCCGCCCCCCGGGGCGGUGUACUCCGUCGUCUGCGGGCCAGCGUCGGUUCGGGCGGCCGGACAAAGGCCCCGGGAACGUAGCCCCCCUCGGGGGGUGUUAUAGCCCGGAGCGCAACGCGGUCAGCCCGGUCCGAGGGACGCGCCUCGCGCUAGGACGCUGGCGUAAUGGCGGUAAGCGACCCGUCUUGAAACACGGACCAAGGAGUCGAGCCCCUGCGCGAGUGUUCGGGUCGCAAGCCCGGCCGCGUAAUGAAAGUGAACGGAGGUGGGAACCCCCGGGGUGCACCAUCGACCGAUCCUGAUGUCUUCGGAUGGAUUUGAGUAAGAGCGUAGUGGCCCGGACCCGAAAGACGGUGAACUAUACCUGGAUAGGGUGAAGCCAGAGGAAACUCUGGUGGAGGCUCGCAGCGGUUCUGACGUGCAAAUCGAUCGUCAAAUCUUGGUAUAGGGGCGAAAGACUAAUCGAACC
rnacentral:rRNA from 1 species